rnacentral:rRNA from 1 species
UCCUCCCUCUGGCGGCGUGCUUAACACAUGCAAGUCGUACGGUAAGGCCCUUUCGGGGGUACACGAGUGGCGAACGGGUGAGUAACACGUGAGUAACCUGCCCACAACUUUGGGAUAACGCUAGGAAACUGGUGCUAAUACUGGAUAUGUGCUCCUGCUGCAUGGUGGGGGUUGGAAAGCUCCGGCGGUUGUGGAUGGACUCGCGGCCUAUCAGCUUGUUGGUGGGGUAGUGGCCUACCAAGGCGGCGACGGGUAGCCGGCCUGAGAGGGUGACCGGCCACAUUGGGACUGAGAUACGGCCCAGACGCCUACGGGAGGCAGCAGUGGGGAAUAUUGCACAAUGGGCGCAAGCCUGAUGCAGCAACGCCGCGUGCGGGAUGACGGCCUUCGGGUUGUAAACCGCUUUCAGCAGGGACGAAGCUUUUUGUGACGGUACCUGCAGAAGAAGCACCGGCUAACUACGUG